rnacentral:misc_RNA from 1 species
GAUGAAGAACGUAGCGAAAUGCGAUAAGUAAUGUGAAUUGCAGAAUUCAGUGAAUCAUCGAAUCUUUGAACGCACAUUGCGCCCAUUAGUAUUCUAGUGGGCAUGCCUGUUCGAGCGUCAUUAAUUCCACUUAAGCCCUGCUUAGUGUUGGGAAUCUACUCUAGUGGUGCUACCCUGGAGCUACCCCUGAAAGGGGGCUGGCCCGGUAGCUACCCUGUAGUUCCUCAAAGAUAGUGCGCGGAGUUGCGUGGUCCUCUGAGCUUAGUAACUAUACACCUAGCUUUUGAGUAUCCCGCGGCGCCUGCCGUUUAAACCCCAGCUUUUAAUGGUUGACCUCGGAUCAGGUAGGAAUACCCGCUGAACUUAAGCAUAUCAAUAAGCGGAGGA